AAAUAAUUUCCUGCCUCCACUCUCACAAAGUUACUCAACUGACCUCAUCUGUCCUUUCCAUAUAAUAAUCAAUGGUAACUUGAUCUGGGUGUCUAACUAUAAGUAUUAUUAAUGUGAAAAGGAGAGAAAAACCAAAAAAGCUGAUGGUGGUAGACUCCCUCCGACCAUCCCUUCCAUGGUGUCUAAAAAAUUUUAAUAAGCAGUAAAAAUAUUUCCUCUCGGGAUUUUCAAAUUUCCGAAUUUCGAUUUGAAAUUGAUAAAAUAAGAUAGUAACGGAGGAAUAAAACAUAUAUAUAUAUAUAUGUAUAUAAAAGAAAAAGAUAGGAUUGGUUAGAGUUCAUGCAGCGGAUCUGGGCCAUUUCUUAAUGGUAAGAAACAAAACAAAAAAGAAGAAGAUGCCCCAGCACGUGAGCCGUGAUGGAAACAGAAAGAAGCCAUGUGCGUUUGUGUUCGGAAUGAGAGAGAAAGAGAGGGGAGGAGAGCUUGAGAAGAAACCCAUCCCAUCACUAUUUCACUGUUACAACUAAGCUCUUGGAGGACAAUGCAUUAUGGUAAUGAUUAAAUUUUUACUAGUAGUUGAAUUACUUUUAUUUUUUGCAGCAAGAUUUAGAAAAAGGAAAAAAAAGAAGUGAUAUUUUUGGUUUACGGCCGUGUAGCGUGGGGGUGAAGUACUUUACCUGGAAACAUCUUCCCAAAGAGGGCCCUUGACGGUGGCAUCACGGAAAGUAGCAUCCAUAUCUGACCUAAUCUUGAGAAGAGCAAGAGUCUCUUGACGGGGCCACCUAUUGCCACUUGCAACUCCAGCUACUCCUCCGCCUUCAGGUUGAUCCCCUUCAUCUCCUACCUCACCUCCGCCGCCACUUACUAACCUCAUGAAUUCAUCCAAGUUCCCAGUGGCAGGCGGUCUACUGCUUAUAGGCGAUGCCUCUUCCACUAACUGCUCCGACUGCUCGCUUACCAUGUGGCUGCUGCCCACUGCACCCGUUGCUGGAGCACCCAUCUCCCUGUAUUGAAAUUG
rnacentral:lncRNA from 1 species